rnacentral:rRNA from 1 species
AAGGCAAACUUUUAUUAUUUUAAAAUUGUUUAAUAUUAUUUAAAUUAAAUAUAAUUUUUUUAUUAGUUUUACGAAAAAAUUUGUUUUAUGAUAGUUAAUUUGUAUUGUGAAAGAAUAUUUAUAAUUUUAAUAAAAGAAAAAUUAAUUUUUUGUACCUUGUGUAUCAGGGCUAAUUAAAAGUUUUAUAUAAAUUUAUAGGUCUCGAAUCUAAAAGAGCUAAGAUUUUAUUAUCUAAUUGUUACAUAACUUUUAAAAAUAAGAUUUUAGUAAUGAAACGUUAUUCGUUUUUUGAUAUAUCUAGUUUUUUGAGAAAUAAAUUUAAUUUAGUUGUUUUUAAAAUUUAUUUAAUUAAAUAAUUUAAAUUUUGAAAGCAUCAAAUUUUUCUAGGGAAAAGCUUGGAAAAAUAGAAUUAUUUAAUUUGAAGGUUAAGUUGAUAAGUAGGAUUAUAAAUUUCCGUCUCUGGGACAAUGUUAUAGUUAUUUUACUUUAGUUUAUUAUUUUUAUAUUUAAUAAGUUUUAUAUCAAAAUUUUAAAUUUAAUAUAAUUUUUUAAGAAAUAAUGAUUAGAUGAGUAUAUUUAUUUGUAACAAUAGGUUUAUUGUCAAGGUGUAGAAAAUGAACUCGGCAAUUUUAUUUUUCACCUGUUUAUUAAAAACGUGUCUUUUUGAUUAUAGUUUAAAGUCGGGCCUGCUCAAUGAUUAAUUAAAUAGCUGCAGUAUUUUGACUGUACUAAGGUAGCAUAAUCAUUAGUUUUUUAAUUGAGGACUGGAAUGAAAGGUUUGAUGAAAAAAUAACUGUCUCUUUUAUAAAUAUAGAAAUUUAUCUUUAAGUAAAAAAGCUUAAAUUUUAUUAAAAGACGAGAAGACCCUAUAGAGUUUAAUAGUUUUUUUGUUUUAGUUUAUAAAGAAUUAAAUUGUUUAAAGUAAAGAAGCUAUUUGGUUGGGGUGAUUAAAAAAUAAAAGAAACUUUUAAUUGAGUUAACUUAAAUUAAAGAUUUGUUUGAUCCAUAAAUUAUGAUUAUAAGAAUAAAUUACCUUAGGGAUAACAGCGUUAUCUUUUUUUAGAGUUCUAAUCGAUAAAAAGGAUUGCGACCUCGAUGUUGGAUUAAAAUAAACUUUUAAGCGCAAAAGCUAAAUAGUUGAGUCUGUUCGACUCUUAAAAUUUUACAUGAUCUGAGUUUAAACCGGCGUGAGCCAGGUUGGUUUCUAUCUUUAUUACUUUAGAAGAUCUUAGUACGAAAGGACCAGAUUUU